rnacentral:rRNA from 1 species
GUGGGGAAUUUUGGACAAUGGGCGCAAGCCUGAUCCAGCCAUGCCGCGUGUCUGAAGAAGGCCUUCGGGUUGUAAAGGACUUUUGUCAGGGAAGAAAAGGCUGUUGCUAAUACCGACAGCUUAUGACGGUACCUGAAGAAUAAGCACCGGCUAACUACGUGCCAGCAGCCGCGGUAAUACGUAGGGUGCGAGCGUUAAUCGGAAUUACUGGGCGUAAAGCGAGCGCAGACGGUUACUUAAGCAGGAUGUGAAAUCCCCGGGCUCAACCUGGGAACUGCGUUCUGAACUGGGUGACUAGAGUGUGUCAGAGGGAGGUAGAAUUCCACGUGUAGCAGUGAAAUGCGUAGAGAUGUGGAGGAAUACCGAUGGCGAAGGCAGCCUCCUGGGAUAACACUGACGUUCAUGCUCGAAAGCGUGGGUAGCAAACAGGAUUAGAAACCCGAGUAGUCC